rnacentral:rRNA from 1 species
CGUCCAGACUCCUACGGGAGGCAGCAGUGGGGAAUAUUGCACAAUGGGGGAAACCCUGAUGCAGCGAUGCCGCGUGGAGGAAGAAGGUUUUCGGAUUGUAAACUCCUUUUAUCAGGGACGAUAAUGACGGUACCUGAAGAAAAAGCAUCGGCUAACUCCGUGCCAGCAGCCGCGGUAAUACGGAGGAUGCGAGCGUUAUCCGGAUUUAUUGGGUUUAAAGGGUGCGUAGGCGGAAUGCCAAGUCAGCGGUAAAAUCGCGGGGCUCAACCUCGCUCCGCCGUUGAAACUGGCGUUCUUGAGUGGGCGAGAAGUAUGCGGAAUGCGUGGUGUAGCGGUGAAAUGCAUAGAUAUCACGCAGAACUCCGAUUGCGAAGGCAGCAUACCGGCGCCCAACUGACGCUGAGGCACGAAAGCGUGGGUAUCGAACAGGAUUAGAUACCCCAGUA